CGGGGAAUAUUGGACAAUGGGGGGAACCCUGAUCCAGCCAUGCCGCGUGUGUGAAGAAGGCCUUAUGGUUGUAAAGCACUUUAAGCGAGGAGGAGGCUCCCGUAGCUAAUAUCUACGGAGAGUGGACGUUACUCGCAGAAUAAGCACCGGCUAACUCUGUGCCAGCAGCCGCGGUAAUACAGAGGGUGCGAGCGUUAAUCGGAUUUACUGGGCGUAAAGCGUGCGUAGGCGGCUUUUUAAGUCGGAUGUGAAAUCCCCGAGCUUUAACUGGGGAAUGGAUUGGGUACUGGGGAGCUAGAGUAUGGGGGGGGGAGGUAGAAAUCCCAGUGUAGCGGUGGAAUGCGUAGGGAACCGGGGGGAUAACGGUUGCGAAGGCAGCCAUCUGGCCUAAUACUGACGCUGGGGUACGAAAGCAUGGGGAGCAAACAG
rnacentral:rRNA from 1 species